AUUGAACGCUGGCGGCAGGCCUAACACAUGCAAGUCGAGCGAGCGGCGGACGGGUGAGUAAUGUAUGGGGACUGCCCGAUAGAGGGGGAUAACUACUGGAAACGGUGGCUAAUACCGCAUACUAUCGGAUAACCCAUAUGGGAUUAGCUAGUAGGUGGGGUAAAGGCUCACCUAGGCGACGAUCUCUAGCUGGUCUGAGAGGAUGAGCAGGCACAUAGGGACGGACAUACGGCCCAGAGUACGACGGAGGCAGCAUUGGGGGAUAUGGGAGAAUGGGCGAAAGCAUGAUGCAGCGACGCCGCGUGGGGGAUGAAGGCUGUCGGGUUGUAAACCUCUUGCGCUAUCGAAUGGGUAGGUGGAGAAGAAGCGCCGGCUAACUACGUGCCAGCCGCCGCGGUAAUAC
rnacentral:rRNA from 1 species